rnacentral:rRNA from 1 species
CCUACGGGAGGCUGCAGUAGGGAAUAUUGCUCAAUGGGGGAAACCCUGCAGCAGCAACGCCGCGUGGAGGAUGAAGGUUUUCGGCUUGUAAACUCCUUUUGUUAGAGAAGAUAAUGACGGUAUCUAACGAAUAAGCACCGGCUAACUCCGUGCCAGCAGCCGCGGUAAUACGGAGGGUGCAAGCGUUACUCGGAAUCACUGGGCGUAAAGAGCGCGUAGGCGGGAUAGCAAGUCAGAUGUGAAAUCCUAUGGCUUAACCAUAGAACUGCAUUUGAAACUGUUAUUCUAGAGUAUGGGAGAGGUAGGUGGAAUUCUUGGUGUAGUGGUAAAAUCCGUAGAGAUCAAGAGGAAUACUCAUUGCGAAGGCGACCUGCUAGAACAUAACUGACGCUGAUGCGCGAAAGCGUGGGGAGCAAACAGGAUUAGAUACCCGAGUAGUC